CAGUCGCCGCGGUAAUACGUAGGUGGCAAGCGUUGUCCGGAAUUAUUGGGCGUAAGGGGCUCGCAGGCGGUUUCUUAAGUCUGAUGUGAAAGCCCCCGGCUCAACCGGGGAGGGUCAUUGGAAACUGGGAAACUUGAGUGCAGAAGAGGAGAGUGGAAUUCCACGUGUAGCGGUGAAAUGCGUAGAGAUGUGGAGGAACACCAGUGGCGAAGGCGACUCUCUGGUCUGUAACUGACGCUGAGGAGCGAAAGCGUGGGGAGCGAACAGGAUUAGAUACCCGUGUAGUCCCUGUCUCUUAUAA
rnacentral:rRNA from 1 species